rnacentral:rRNA from 1 species
AUUGAACGCUGGCGGCAGGCCUAACACAUGCAAGUCGAACGAGUGGCGGACGGGUGAGUAAUGUCUGGGCAACUGCCUGAUGGAGGGGGAUAAUUACUGUAAACGGUAGCUACUACCUCUUACCACCCGAUGUGCCCAGUUGGGAUUAGCUUGUUGCUGUGGUAACGGCUCACCAAGGCGACGAUGCCUAGCUGGUCUGAGAGGAUGACCAGCCACACUGGGACUGAGACACGGGCCAGACUCCUACGGGAGGCAGCAGUGGGGAAUAUUGCACAAUGGGCGCAAGCCUGAUGCAGCCAUGCCGCGUGUAUGAAGAAGGCCGGCGGGUUGGAAAGGACUUUAAGCGGGGAGGCGGUACCCGCAGAAGAAGCAACGGCUAACUCCGUGCCAGCAGCCGCGGUAAUAC